rnacentral:rRNA from 1 species
AUUGAACGCUGGCGGCAGGCCUAACACAUGCAAGUCGAGCGAGAAAGUACUUCGGUACGAGUAAAGCGGCGGACGGGUGAGUAACGCGUAGGAAUCUACCUGGUAGUGGGGGACAACAUGUGGAAACGCAUGCUAAUACCGCAUACGACCUAAGGGUGAAAGUGGGGGACCUUCGGGCCUCACGCUAUCGGAUGAGCCUGCGUAAGAUUAGCUAGUUGGUGAGGUAAGAGCUCACCAAGGCGACGAUCUUUAGCUGGUCUGAGAGGAUGAUCAGCCACACUGGGACUGAGACACGGCCCAGACUCCUACGGGAGGCAGCAGUGGGGAAUAUUGCGCAAUGGAGGAAACUCUGACGCAGCCAUGCCGCGUGUGUGAAGAAGGCCUUAGGGUUGUAAAGCACUUUCAAUUGGGAAGAAAGGUUGUACGUUAAUAGCGUGCAGCUGUGACAUUACCUUUAGAAGAAGCACCGGCUAACUCCGUGCCAGCAGCCGCGGUAAUACGGAGGGUGCGAGCGUUAAUCGGAAUUACUGGGCGUAAAGCGCGCGUAGGCGGUUUGUUAAGUCGGAUGUGAAAGCCCUGGGCUCAACCUGGGAACUGCAUUCGAUACUGGCAAACUAGAGUGCGAGAGAGGGAGGUAGAAUUCCAUGUGUAGCGGUGAAAUGCGUAGAUAUGUGGAGGAAUACCGGUGGCGAAGGCGGCCUCCUGGCUCGACACUGACGCUGAUGGCGAUGA